UACGUAGGGGGCAAGCGUUGUCCGGAAUUAUUGGGCGUAAAGGGCUCGUAGGCGGUUUGUCGCGUCGGGAGUGAAAACUCGGAGCUUAACUCCGAGCCUGCUUCCGAUACGGGCAGACUAGAGGUAUGCAGGGGAGAACGGAAUUCCUGGUGUAGCGGUGAAAUGCGCAGAUAUCAGGAGGAACACCGGUGGCGAAGGCGGUUCUCUGGGCAUUACCUGACGCUGAGGAGCGAAAGUGUGGGGAGCGAACAGG
rnacentral:rRNA from 1 species